rnacentral:misc_RNA from 1 species
AACGCACAUUGCGCCCUUUGGUAUUCCGAAGGGCAUGCCUGUUCGAGCGUCAUUAGUACAUUCAAGCUUUGCUUGGUGUUGGGCGACGUCGCGGUACCCCGCGACGCGCCUGGAAUGAAUUUGGCUGCGGGUAUCGGCUCCCAGCGCUGCGAGGCGUCUCAACGUCAUGCGUUAGGAGGGUCGGCGCCGGCGGGCCAGCAAAACCCCCAACAGACAGCUUGACCUCGGAUCAGGUAGGGAUACCCGCUGAACUUAA